GAUAAGAACGUAGCGAAAUGCGAUAAGUAAUGUGAAUUGCAGAGUUCAGUGAAUCAUCGAAUCUUUGAACGCACAUUGCGCCCGUCAGUAUUCUGACGGGCAUGCCUGUCCGAGCGUCAUUUCAACCCUCAAGCACUGCUUGGCGUUGGCGGAUUGCGUGCCCUCGCGGCGCUGCAACCGCCCAAAUACAGUGGCGGUCCCGCUGCGGCUCCCUUUGCGUAGUAACUCACCUCGCACUGGACCGGGCGGCGGCCUGCCGUAAAACCCCAACUCACGAAAUGUUGACCUCGGAUCAGGUAGGAAUACCCGCUGAACUUAAGCAUAUCAAUAAGCGGAGGA
rnacentral:misc_RNA from 1 species